rfam:Marine Group I thaumarchaeote SCGC AAA799-P11 AAA799P11_13, whole genome shotgun sequence.
GUAGCAGGUAGGAUCGGGGUGCCAGCCGUGCCCUGUUCUGAAACCGGCUAUAUGCAGAGAUCAGUAACUGUUGGGUAAAUCUCUAGAUGAGUAAUUCCCGCUUGGUGUGCGGAAAUGAAAUCACGCCGAGGCGGGUGGUUGCAGGACUAGAAUUAUCCGAAGGGAUGACUUCUAAGACCGAACCAUCGAAAGGGAUGAGGUCCGGGAGGGAGCAAUCCUAAGGUGGAGCAUCCACGCUUCCUCGUCAACGUGGCGGAUCUUGUACGCCUUGAAAUGGGGCUAUUCGCCUAGACUGGAACCAACAGAUCUGCUAC